rnacentral:rRNA from 1 species
UGCGUAGGCGGCCUCUUAAGUUUGGUGUGAAAUCUCCCGGCUCAACCGGGAGGGUGCGCCGGAUACUGAGGGGCUAGAGUGCGGGAGAGGAAAGUGGAAUUCCUGGUGUAGCGGUGAAAUGCGUAGAUAUCAGGAGGAACACCUGCGGUGUAAACGGCUUUCUGGACCGUAACUGACGCUGAGGCACGAAAGCGUGGGUAGCAAACA